CAGUGAGAGUCCCACACACGACUGGACUUCCAUAUCGAGCCACAGCUAUCAACGAAUUUGCUGGCAAGAUGUAGGCAGUUCAGUUGUGCGUUUAUGGAG
ensembl:miRNA mir-73 miscRNA